UCAGAAUUGUAGUUUAAUUAAAAUACUAGCAUUGGAAGCUAAUGAUUAGGUAACACACCUACAUUCUGAA
rnacentral:tRNA from 1 species